rnacentral:rRNA from 1 species
GCUCCCGAGUAUACGUUAGCGGCGGACGGGUGAGUAACACGUAGGCAACCUGCCUGCAAGACUGGGAUAACUACCGGAAACGGUAGCUAAUACCGGAUACGCAAGAGAGUCGCAUGAUUUUCUUGGGAAAGACGGAGCAAUCUGUCACUUGCGGAUGGGCCUGCGGCGCAUUAGCUAGUUGGUGAGGUAACGGCUCACCAAGGCGACGAUGCGUAGCCGACCUGAGAGGGUGAACGGCCACACUGGGACUGAGACACGGCCCAGACUCCUACGGGAGGCAGCAGUAGGGAAUCUUCCGCAAUGGACGAAAGUCUGACGGAGCAACGCCGCGUGAGUGAUGAAGGUUUUCGGAUCGUAAAGCUCUGUUGCCAGGGAAGAACGUCGGGUAGAGUAACUGCUAUCCGAGUGACGGUACCUGAGAAGAAAGCCCCGGCUAACUACGUGCCAGCAGCCGCGGUAAUACGUAGGGGGCAAGCGUUGUCCGGAAUUAUUGGGCGUAAAGCGCGCGCAGGCGGCCAUUUAAGUCUGGUGUUUAAUCCCGGGGCUCAACUCCGGGUCGCAUCGGAAACU